UACGUAGGGUGCAAGCGUUGUCCGGAAUUAUUGGGUGUAAAGAGCUCGUAGGCGGUCUGUCGCGUCUGCUGUGAAAAUCCAGGGCUCAACCCUGGACCUGCAGUGGGUACGGGCAGACUAGAGUGCGGUAGGGGAGAUCGGAAUUCCUGGUGUAGCGGUGAAAUGCGCAGAUAUCAGGAGGAACACCGGUGGCGAAGGCGGAUCUCUGGGCCGUAACUGACGCUGAGGAGCGAAAGCAUGGGGAGCGAACAGG
rnacentral:rRNA from 1 species